UACGAAGGUCCCGAGCGUUGUUCGGAAUUACUGGGCGUAAAGAGUGUGUAGGCGGUGCUCUAAGUUCGGUGUGAAAUCUCCCGGCUUAACUGGGAGGGUGCGCCGGAAACUGGAGUGCUCGAGCGUGGGAGAGGAAAGCGGAAUUCCUGGUGUAGCGGUGAAAUGCGUAGAUAUCAGGAGGAACACCUGCGGUGUAGACGGCUUUCUGGACCAUUGCUGACGCUGAGACACGAAAGCGUGGGUAGCAAACAGG
rnacentral:rRNA from 1 species